CUUGGUUUCCUCUGUGGUAAUGGGGAUAAUAUGCCCUCUCUUGUAGAUGUGUGGAAGGCCAUGGCUGACUUGGAUGCUGUUGGGGUCAUCUCACGGCACAUGGCAUACACAAUUUAUCUUGCUUCCUGUCUUGAUAAUGACAUCUUGGUUUUCAUGCUGUCUUAGAACAAGUAGAACGUGACUUACAUAAAGCAACACAUGUUUAUUGAAGAAUAGUUGGAAACCCCAGAAAAACCGAAAGACGAAAAUAAGCACUCAGCUGAAGACAGCCAUUCAAAAGUUCUGGCACCCUUUCCUCCCAACUUUCACUGAAGUUGAACAGAUAAAUGUGCACAUAUGAAGUGAUUUCUGGGAAAGACCAAAAAAAAAAAAAAAAAAA